AUUGAACGCUGGCGGCAGGCCUAACACAUGCAAGUCGAGCGGUAACAGAAAGAAGCUUGCUUCUUUGCUGACGAGCGGCGGACGGGUGAGUAAUGCUUGGGAACAUGCCUUGAGGUGGGGGACAACAGUUGGAAACGACUGCUAAUACCGCAUAAUGUCUACGGACCAAAGGGGGCUUCGGCUCUCGCCUUUAGAUUGGCCCAAGUGGGAUUAGCUAGUUGGUGAGGCAAUGGCUCACCAAGGCGACGAUCCCUAGCUGGUUUGAGAGGAUGAUCAGCCACACUGGGACUGAGACACGGCCCAGACUCCUACGGGAGGCAGCAGUGGGGAAUAUUGCACAAUGGGCGCAAGCCUGAUGCAGCCAUGCCGCGUGUGUGAAGAAGGCCUUCGGGUUGUAAAGCACUUUCAGUCAGGAGGAAAGGUUAGUAGUUAAUACCUGCUAGCUGUGACGUUACUGACAGAAGAAGCACCGGCUAACUCCGUG
rnacentral:rRNA from 1 species